rnacentral:tRNA from 1 species
GCCCCGGUAGCUCAGUCGGAUAGAGCACCAGAUUCCUAAUCUGGGGGUCAGAGGUUCGAAUCCUCUCCGGGGCG